ACUGGACAGGGUUCUGGUGAUCUGCUCCCUGACCACCUGCAUCACCUGUAGACAGAGACAGGCAGACAGAGACAGGUAAGACAGAGACAGGCAGACAGAGACAGGUAAGACAGAGACAGGUUAGACAGAGACAGGUUAGACAGAGACAGGUUAGACAGAGACAGGUAGACAGAGACAGGUAAGACAGAGACAGUUAGACAGAGACAGGUAGACAGAGACAGGUAGACAGAGACAGGUAGACAGAGACAGGUUAGACAGAGACAGGUUAGACAGAGACAGGUUAGACAGAGACAGGUAAGACAGAGACAAGUAGACAGAGACAGGUAAGACAGAGACAGGUUAGACAGAGACAGGCAGACAGAGACAGUUAGACAGAGACAGUUAGACAGAGACAGGCAGACAGAGACAGGCAGACAGAGACAGGUAAGACAGAGACAGUUAGACAGAGACAGGUAGACAGAGACAGUUAGACAGAGACAGGUAAGACAGAGACAGUUAGACAGAGACAGGUUAGACAGAGACAGGUAGACAGAGACAGUUAGACAGAGACAGUUAGACAGAGACAGGUAAGACAGAGACAGUUAGACAGAGACAGGUAAGACAGAGACAGGCAGACAGAGACAGUUAGACAGAGACAGGUAGACAGAGACAGUUAGACAGAGACAGGUAGACAGAGACAGGCAGACAGAGACAGUUAGACAGAGACAGGUAGACAGAGACAGUUAGACAGAGACAGUUAGACAGAGACAGGCAGACAGAGACAGGCAGACAGAGACAGUUAGACAGAGACAGGUAGACAGAGACAGUUAGACAGAGACAGGUAAGACAGAGACAGGUAGACAGAGACAGGUAGACAGAGACAGGUAGACAGAGACAGGUAGACAGAGACAGGUAAGACAGAGACAGGUAGACAGAGACAGGUAGACAGAGACAGGUAGACAGAGACAGUUAGACAGAGACAGGUAGACAGAGACACAUGCAGCAGAGAAAAGAUGUUUUUAUUUUUAUUUUUUUAGAAUCAGUCUGUAUCCAAAGCCAACAAUCCUUCUGCUCUUAUUCUGGAGAAAGCUUCAUCCAAAAACUAGACUUUCUGAGUUUGGAUCCACUUUUCUCACUUCCUAACAUCACUGCUACAAGCAGCCAAUUCAUUUAUUACUUUUCACCACAUUUAUACACGUUUCAUUAAAAGUCACCAUUUAAUGUUUCUAAUGAACCUUCUCUGAUUAAAGACUGAGAGGUGGUUUAAAAUAAAACAACAU